AUAUUUCGCGUCGGUGGGCAUUUAGAUUGUGGACAUGGGAUACCGCAACACGACAGGGUGGAGCGGGCUCUUCCUACGAGCGGACUGGCUCUCUGUCCAGGGUUGCGCCCCGCCUCCCGCCUGAUGACUCCAGCCGCUCUUGUGACCCUGAAAGGACAAACGUGUUAGCAGAGUGAUUCGUCGUCGUAUUGUGGGAAAUUCAGUGCGCGGAUCGAAGAACUGGAUCACAGGACGACUAUGUGGGAUCCUCCUUUAGAUUUACGGUUGCUCUUAAACACGGCCUGCACUCUGUUGGCAAGCACCUGGUUUGAACAGUAAAAUGUAUUUCUUUGCAAAUCUGCUCCAAGUUUCAGUUACCUUUCAGGGAUGAUUGACAGGACGGGCCUGCCACCUGUUUUA